GUCCGAGUGGCGGAAUGGCAGACGCGUACGUUUGAGGGGCGUAUGGGCAACCGUAGGAGUUCAAGUCUCCUCUCGGACA
rnacentral:tRNA from 1 species